GGCCCGCCCCCUCGCCGCGCCCCGCCCCCCGAGGAAUGCGGGCGGAGGUUCCCGGGCGUUCGCGGCCUAGGCUGUUGGCGCGGGCUCCCGCCUGGCGCUCUUCUCUCGCGGGCGGAGGUCACGACCGAGAGUCCGACGCGAACCGCGGUCAGCACGACCUGGGCGAGGUCCGGGUGUCCGUCUCCGGAGCGUCGGUCUGACUGAGAAACUGCCACCAGAGUGUCUGAUGCCCUGUGUAGACUGUGGGUGAGAGCUCACGUGGGCAAAGCACAAACUCACUUCACGACAGCAGGACUGCUUCAGAACUCAAACAUGUCACCAGAAAAAGAGUCUUGCGUUAUAAAGGAUCAAAGUAUGGAUAGACACAACAGCUUGGAUGAAUCUCCAGGGAACUAUGAGGAGUUUAAAAAGCCAACUUCAGGGGCGCCUGGGUGGCUCAGUCGGUUGAGCGUCCGCCUUCAGCUCAGAUCAUGAUCUCAGGGUCCUGGGAUCGAGCCCCACAUCGGGCUCCCUGCUCAGCAGGGAGUCUGCUUCUCCCUCUCCCUCUCCCCCUGCUUGUGUUCCCUCUCUCGCUGUGUCUCUCUCUGUCAAAUAAAUAAAAUCUUAAAAAAAAAAAUUAAAAAAAAAAAAAGCCAACCUCAAAA